rnacentral:rRNA from 1 species
AGUUUGAUCAUGGCUCAGGACGAACGCUGGCGGCGUGCUUAACACAUGCAAGUCGAACGAUGAACCACUUCGGUGGGGAUUAGUGGCGAACGGGUGAGUAACACGUGGGCAAUCUGCCCUUCACUCUGGGACAAGCCCUGGAAACGGGGUCUAAUACCGGAUAGCACUUCCACUCGCAUGGGUGGGGGUUGAAAGCUCCGGCGGUGAAGGAUGAGCCCGCGGCCUAUCAGCUUGUUGGUGAGGUAAUGGCUCACCAAGGCGACGACGGGUAGCCGGCCUGAGAGGGCGACCGGCCACACUGGGACUGAGACACGGCCCAGACUCCUACGGGAGGCAGCAGUGGGGAAUAUUGCACAAUGGGCGAAAGCCUGAUGCAGCGACGCCGCGUGAGGGAUGACGGCCUUCGGGUUGUAAACCUCUUCAGCAGGGAAGAAGGAAACGAAAGUGACGGUACCUGCAGAAGAAGCGCCGGCUAACUACGUGCCAG